GUGAGGAAUAUUGCGCAAUGGAGGCAACUCUGACGCAGCCAUGCCGCGUGCAGGAAGAAGGCGCUACGCGUUGUAAACUGCUUUUAACCGGGAAGAAACCCCAGGACGUGUCCUGGGUUGACGGUACCGGAGGAAUAAGCACCGGCUAACUUCGUGCCAGCAGCCGCGGUAAUACGAAGGGUGCAAGCGUUAUCCGGAUUCAUUGGGUUUAAAGGGUGCGUAGGCGGAGCGUUAAGUCAGUGGUGAAAUCCUGCAGCUUAACUGUAGACUUGCCAUUGAUACUGGCGCUCUUGAGUGCGCUUGAAGUGGGUGGAAUGUGCCGUGUAGCGGUGAAAUGCUUAGAUAUGGCACAGAACACCAAUUGCGAAGGCAGCUCACUAAGGCGAUACUGACGCUGAGGCACGAAAGCGUGGGGAUCGAACAGGAUUAGAAACCCGGGUAGUCC
rnacentral:rRNA from 1 species